AUUGAACGCUGGCGGCAUGCCUUACACAUGCAAGUCGAACGGCAGCACGGGUGCUUGCACCUGGUGGCGAGUGGCGAACGGGUGAGUAAUACAUCGGAACAUGUCCUGUAGUGGGGGAUAGCCCGGCGAAAGCCGGAUUAAUACCGCAUACGAUCUACGGAUGAAAGCGGGGGACCUUCGGGCCUCGCGCUAUAGGGUUGGCCGAUGGCUGAUUAGCUAGUUGGUGGGGUAAAGGCCUACCAAGGCGACGAUCAGUAGCUGGUCUGAGAGGACGACCAGCCACACUGGGACUGAGACACGGCCCAGACUCCUACGGGAGUCAGCAGUGGGGAAUUUUGGACAAUGGGCGAAAGCCUGAUCCAGCAAUGCCGCGUGUGUGAAGAAGGCCUUCGGGUUGUAAAGCACUUUUGUCCGGAAAGAAAUCCUUGGCCCUAAUACGGUCGGGGGAUGACGGUACCGGAAGAAUAAGCACCGGCUAACUACGUG
rnacentral:rRNA from 1 species